rnacentral:rRNA from 1 species
UGGGGAAUAUUGCACAAUGGGCGCAAGCCUGAUGCAGCCAUGCCGCGUGUAUGAAGAAGGCCUUCGGGUUGUAAAGUACUUUCAGCGGGGAGGAAGGGAGUAAAGUUAAUACCUUUGCUCAUUGACGUUACCCGCAGAAGAAGCACCGGCUAACUCCGUGCCAGCAGCCGCGGUAAUACGGAGGGUGCAAGCGUUAAUCGGAAUUACUGGGCGUAAAGCGCACGCAGGCGGUCUGUCAAGUCGGAUGUGAAAUCCCCGGGCUUAACCCGGGAAUUGCAUCUGAUACUGGUCAGCUAGAGUCUUGUAGAGGGGGGUAGAAUUCCAUGUGUAGCGGUGAAAUGCGUAGAGAUGUGGAGGAAUACCGGUGGCGAAGGCGGCCCCCUGGACAAAGACUGACGCUCAGGUGCGAAAGCGUGGGGAGCAAACAGG